rnacentral:rRNA from 1 species
GACGAACGCUGGCGGCGUGCUUAACACAUGCAAGUCGAACGGAAAGGCCCUGCUUUUGCGGGGUGCUCGCGUGGCGCACGGGUGAGUAACACGUGAGUAACCUGCCCUUGACUUUGUGAUAACUUCAGGAAACUGCGGCUACUACCGGAUAGGAGCUCCUGCUGCAUGGUGGGGGUUGGAACGUUUCGGCGGUUGUGGCUGGUCUCGCGGCUUAUCAGCUUGUUGGUGGGGUAGCGGCCUACCAAGGCUUUGACGGCUAGCCGGCCUGGGAGGGUGACCAGGGACCAUGGGCCUGCGGGACGGACCAGGGGGGAAUGGGAGGCAGCGGGGGGGAGUAUGGCACAGUGGGGGGGAGCGUGAGGAGGCAGCGUCGGGUGCGGGAAGACGGCUUUCGGGGGGUGAACGGCUGUCGCCUGUGACGAGGCGGGAGUGACGGUAACGGGUAAAGAAGCACCGGCUAACUACGUG